ACCCGGAGAACUGAAACAUCUUAGUACCCGGAGGAAGAGAAAGAAAAUUCGAUUCCCUUAGUAGCGGCGAGCGAAACGGGAAGAGCCCAAACCAACAAGCUUGCUUGUUGGGGUUGUAGGACACUCUAUACGGAGUUACAAAGGACGACAUUAGACGAAUCAUCUGGAAAGAUGAAUCAAAGAAGGUAAUAAUCCUGUAGUCGAAAAUGUUGUCUCUCUUGAGUGGAUCCUGAGUACGACGGAGCACGUGAAAUUCCGUCGGAAUCUGGGAGGACCAUCUCCUAAGGCUAAAUACUCUCUAGUGACCGAUAGUGAACCAGUACCGUGAGGGAAAGGUGAAAAGCACCCCGGAAGGGGAGUGAAAUAGAACCUGAAACCGUGUGCUUACAAGUAGUCAGAGCCCGUUAAUGGGUGAUGGCGUGCCUUUUGUAGAAUGAACCGGCGAGUUACGAUUUGAUGCAAGGUUAAGCAGUAAAUGUGGAGCCGUAGCGAAAGCGAGUCUGAAUAGGGCGUUUAGUAUUUGGUCGUAGACCCGAAACCAGGUGAUCUACCCUUGGUCAGGUUGAAGUUCAGGUAACACUGAAUGGAGGACCGAACCGACUUACGUUGAAAAGUGAGCGGAUGAACUGAGGGUAGCGGAGAAAUUCCAAUCGAACCUGGAGAUAGCUGGUUCUCUCCGAAAUAGCUUUAGGGCUAGCCUCAAGUGAUGAUUAUUGGAGGUAGAGCACUGUUUGGACGAGGGGCCCCUCUCGGGUUACCGAAUUCAGACAAACUCCGAAUGCCAAUUAAUUUAACUUGGGAGUCAGAACAUGGGUGAUAAGGUCCGUGUUCGAAAGGGAAACAGCCCAGACCACCAGCUAAGGUCCCAAAAUAUAUGUUAAGUGGAAAAGGAUGUGGCGUUGCCCAGACAACUAGGAUGUUGGCUUAGAAGCAGCCAUCAUUUAAAGAGUGCGUAAUAGCUCACUAGUCGAGUGACACUGCGCCGAAAAUGUACCGGGGCUAAACAUAUUACCGAAGCUGUGGAUUGUCCUUUGGACAAUGGUAGGAGAGCGUUCUAAGGGCGUUGAAGCAUGAUCGUAAGGACAUGUGGAGCGCUUAGAAGUGAGAAUGCCGGUGUGAGUAGCGAAAGACGGGUGAGAAUCCCGUCCACCGAUUGACUAAGGUUUCCAGAGGAAGGCUCGUCCGCUCUGGGUUAGUCGGGUCCUAAGCUGAGGCCGACAGGCGUAGGCGAUGGAUAACAGGUUGAUAUUCCUGUACCACCUAUAAUCGUUUUAAUCGAUGGGGGGGACGCAGUAGGAUAGGCGAAGCGUGCGAUUGGAUUGCACGUCUAAGCAGUAAGGCUGAGUAUUAGGCAAAUCCGGUACUCGUUAAGGCUGAGCUGUGAUGGGGAGAAGACAUUGAGUCUUCGAGUCGUUGAUUUCACACUGCCGAGAAAAGCCUCUAGAUAGAAAAUAGGUGCCCGUACCGCAAACCGACACAGGUAGUCAAGAUGAGAAUUCUAAGGUGAGCGAGCGAACUCUCGUUAAGGAACUCGGCAAAAUGACCCCGUAACUUCGGGAGAAGGGGUGCUCUUUAGGGUUAACGCCCAGAAGAGCCGCAGUGAAUAGGCCCAAGCGACUGUUUAUCAAAAACACAGGUCUCUGCUAAACCGUAAGGUGAUGUAUAGGGGCUGACGCCUGCCCGGUGCUGGAAGGUUAAGAGGAGUGGUUAGCUUCUGCGAAGCUACGAAUCGAAGCCCCAGUAAACGGCGGCCGUAACUAUAACGGUCCUAAGGUAGCGAAAUUCCUUGUCGGGUAAGUUCCGACCCGCACGAAAGGCGUAACGAUUUGGGCACUGUCUCAACGAGAGACUCGGUGAAAUCAUAGUACCUGUGAAGAUGCAGGUUACCCGCGACAGGACGGAAAGACCCCGUGGAGCUUUACUGUAGCCUGAUAUUGAAAUUCGGCACAGCUUGUACAGGAUAGGUAGGAGCCUUUGAAACGUGAGCGCUAGCUUACGUGGAGGCGCUGGUGGGAUACUACCCUAGCUGUGUUGGCUUUCUAACCCGCACCACUUAUCGUGGUGGGAGACAGUGUCAGGCGGGCAGUUUGACUGGGGCGGUCGCCUCCUAAAAGGUAACGGAGGCGCUCAAAGGUUCCCUCAGAAUGGUUGGAAAUCAUUCAUAGAGUGUAAAGGCAUAAGGGAGCUUGACUGCGAGACCUACAAGUCGAGCAGGGUCGAAAGACGGACUUAGUGAUCCGGUGGUUCCGCAUGGAAGGGCCAUCGCUCAACGGAUAAAAGCUACCCCGGGGAUAACAGGCUUAUCUCCCCCAAGAGUUCACAUCGACGGGGAGGUUUGGCACCUCGAUGUCGGCUCAUCGCAUCCUGGGGCUGUAGUCGGUCCCAAGGGUUGGGCUGUUCGCCCAUUAAAGCGGUACGCGAGCUGGGUUCAGAACGUCGUGAGACAGUUCGGUCCCUAUCCGUCGUGGGCGUAGGAAAUUUGAGAGGAGCUGUCCUUAGUACGAGAGGACCGGGAUGGACAUACCUCUGGUGUACCAGUUGUCGUGCCAACGGCAUAGCUGGGUAGCUAUGUGUGGACGGGAUAAGUGCUGAAAGCAUCUAAGCAUGAAGCCCCCCUCAAGAUGAGAUUUCCCAACUUCGGUUAUAAGAUCCCUCAAAGAUGAUGAGGUUAAUAGGUUCGAGGUGGAAGCAUGGUGACAUGUGGAGCUGACGAAUACUAAUCGAUCGAAGACUUAAUCAA
rnacentral:rRNA from 2 species